rnacentral:misc_RNA from 1 species
UCUUUGUUUUUAAAUAUUAUUUUACAAAAGGAUUUUAGGUAAUACAACUUUUUUACAAUCAUGCCAACUUGUGGCUCAGUUUUUAAGGUUUAUGAGCUGUCAAAAGUUAUAAAAAGUCAAAAAUAAUAUUAUGUUUAAUUAUAACACAUAAUUUAUCACUGAACUCAGAAACCAUUUCUUAAAGCAAGAUUUAGUUCUUGAGACACAAAUCAAUUCUUUCGACUGGGUAAAUUUGAUCUGCCUAGCAACACGCAUAGGAACAGGUUUUUAAUAAGAAUUGCGAGCUAUUUAUUGUCUUUUGUUAUCUAAAAAACUUUUUACACAAUGGAUAAAUCAUGUAGAGUCAAACAAAGUCCUCAAAGUAAAAUAUCUAAAAAGUUCCAUGGAAAUAGAUACACAAAAAUUUUCCAAUCGAUUUAACUUUAUCAGUUGCUCCUGAUAUUAGUUACGAAAAUGACCAUAUUGUUUUAACACAUCCUUAAAAUUAUCUAUAUUCUCAAAGAAAAAUUGAAAAAAUUGAGACAACUCAGCAUUAUAAAAAUAAAAUUAAAAUAAUAAAUAAAAUUAGUUAUUGAACUGUUGACAUUGAAAUUUUGUCUGGUGUAAUUAAUCAACUAUGUUGAAAAAAAUGUUUACAAUUUAAAAAAAUUUAUAGCUCUAACUGCAAUGAAAAAAUUGAAUUUUAUACUUUAAAAACAUGUUUGGGAAGUAAUUGUUUUAAUCUGAAUAACAGAAUAGUUUAUUCAAUGCGUGCCUAUGGUAAAUAUUUUUCAGGAUUAGAAAAAUUUACAUCUUUAAUGAACCUAAAACGAUGAAUAAAAAUAAUAUGAAUAAAAAAAAUUACAACAAAAUAAUUAAGUCAGUCUCUGAUCGUGCUAAAAUUGUUGCAAAUGAAACAAUGAUUGAUGCUAUGAAAGAAGUUUGUAAACCUUCUCCAAAUAUUGCUAACACUGCAAUAUUAUUUGAUGGUAUCUGGCAACGUUGUGGGAUUUUUUUACUAAAUGGAGUUGUUACAGCAAUAUCAAUGAACACAGGUAUCAUUCUUGAUUGCAAUCUGAUGAGUUGAUCAUGCAAAACCUGUAGUAAAUUUAAAACUCAAAGAAAAUAUUCUUUAUUUAUUUGAAGCUCGGAAAUCAUCACAUGGAUGUAAAUUAAAUUAUCGUGGCUCUGCUCCUGGCAUGGAAGUAAUCGGCGAACAACGAAUAUUAAGUCGUUCUAUUCCACAAAAUAAACUAAGGUAUGUUAAAUAUUAUGGUAAUGGCAAUUGUAAAAGUUGUUCUUAUGUUAAGGAUACUUAUCCUGGUAUAACAGUGUGUAAGUUGGAGUGUGUCUGUCUCAGUCAUUAGUCAUCUAAAGCCUGUAUAUAUCGAUCUAUCUCAAGAAAAACUCAUAAAAAAAUGUCUUCAUGAUAAGACGCAAAACCAGAAUGAAAGUUUUAAUGGAACGAUAUGAGAGCACAUGUCUAAAACAAAGUAUGUAUUGUUAACGCAAUUGGAGUGAGAUGUAUAUGAUGCUGUUUUAAAUGUUAAUAUUGGAAGAAAAGCAAGUAUAUUUUUAUUUAAAAAGUUGAACAUGAUUCCUGGUAUAAAUAUGGUACUCUUCAAGGUUACUACGCUGUUAAUCGUAUACCAAAAAAUCAUAUCCUAUAUGUUUUCGGUUACUGAGACAUUUUUGGGUGUCUGCCAUUUUACUUAGUAGUCAUGGCAAUUAAUUUAUUUUGCAUUAUUUAAAAUCAUGUUAUUUCUCUUUUGAUUUAAGCGAAGCUUUGGAUAAAAUUUGGGAACGAAUAUUUAUAAUAAAACUUGGAUAAAAUUCCGAACGAAUCUUUAUAAAACUGGUUGUUUAUAGUAGGGUGUUUUCCCUGCUCGCUGUAUUUAUAUAUGGUAUGUUAUUUUCUAAAAAAAGCCCUCUUUAUAUAAAAUCUCUCAAAAAAAAAUAGGUCCUUUGAAAAAAAAGAAAAGAAGGUAAAGAAGAGGGUAGAGGUAGGGACCCCUCUGACUCUUACUACGUUGUCGGCUCUAACUUAAUUUAAGAAAAUUAAAAUUAUUUUUUAAAACACAAAAAUUGUCUUGAGUUAACCUCUUCCAUUUUUACCUCUUCCCACUCUCCCCCCACGCACACACACUUGACACCUACUCGCGCCGUAUAAAAGCUAUUUCUAUAUUUUGGACGUAACUGUAAUUCCAUAAAAAGAACAAUUUAUAACUUUUAAAAGUUCUGUUGAAAAACAAUUUAUAACUUUAAACACUUUUUUUGCUUUAAUAUAUCAAAAAUAUCUGAUGAAAAUGCAGAUUUAUUUAGAAGUUUAUGUGAAAUUUACAGUUUGGAUAUAAACGUUCAAGAAACACUAGUAAAGUUUGAUAUUUUCAAAUGAGCGUGUGCAGGGCCGUCCCAAAAAAAUUUAAAGGAGGGGGAGAGGGGCCGUGUCUAUUAUUUGCCGACAAAAAACCCCCAAAAAAUCACUGCCAUUUACAAUUAAAAUUUUGCCGACUCUAGUGCCCAAUUUGCCGACUAAUAAAAUUCGUAGGGGAGGGGGGGUCUAGACGUCCCAUCCCUUCGGGAUGGCCCUAAUGAAGAUAUUGAUGCGUGUACAUCAAUAUCCCCAUUUUUGAUCACUGACAUACAAAUAAAAAAAUUGUUUUCAUUCUUAAUUGAAAAACAGAUGAUACCAAAUUUCCCUAAAUUGUUUAUAACUCUAUUAGAUCUACUUGAAUUUUCGUGUUACAUCCGCUGUAGCUGAGAAAAGUUUUAGCAAACUGAAGAUUAUCAGUCAUUCACAACAGACUUUUAUAAUUAACUGGAUAGUUUAUUUAUUUUACCAUUCUAUAUUAUUAAAAAAGUGAAUUUCAAAAUCAUUUUGAACAUUUAAUAUUUAGCAAGCAUUAAAAAAAUAUAUUUUUUUUUAAUUUUGUAACGCUGAACUGGAGAUACGCAAUGACGUGGAUAGACUAUGUGGAGGUAAAUAAAAAUCGUAUUUUAAAUUUAAAAAACAAAUUUUUUCAACGCCGCACAGUGCCAGAAAAAACGGCAAAAACCCUAUUAAUUUUUUAAAUUUAUUUUGAUGUUUUUUAACUUUAUCUUGAUUGUUAUAAGCAUACUGAACAAGGUAAACCCAUUUUUUAUGAUUUUGUAAAUUUUUACUCUUUUUGUGAGCUUGUUAUAUGCAGGUUGUUUGUGGGCAAAAAUUCACUAGAAAUUUUAGAGUUUUCAAGUAGUUCUUAAAAUUGUCACAAAAUGGUCAUUUUUAAAAAUUUUUCUUUCAUUUUUUCGGUGAACAUCAUAUAUAUAUUAUAUCAUCCGGUAAGUAACUGACAUUGGUCUUUUAUCAACACCAAAAAUUAAUGUUCGAAUUUCACAAUUUGUGAAAAAAUUAAAAAUUUUCAGGAAAUAAUAUUCACAAUAUUUACUUUUUCUAAAAAUGUCCACACUUGUCCACCCUGAAUUUUGAUGGGGAAGUGUCUUGAAUAUAUACAGGAAUGCCCGGAAAAAAAAAACCCGCCCCAAAGUAGCACGUUUUUGAGAAAUUGAAUUUUAAAGUUUUUUGCAAUUAAUAAGAAAUCCGCAAAAAGUUGUUUACAAAUCCAAAAAUUAGUUAGUAAUAUGUGCCUUUGUGAUUACAUCUCAAAAUGAAAAUAAUAGACUUGAUUCCCAAAGUAAGAGAAAUUUGUAUAACUAACAAGGAUAUUGUGAGCCUCCUUUAUGAGGAAAUUUUGAUAUCAGAAGGUUUGGAUGGUGAAAAAGUGCAUAGUGAAAAAUUAACAGAAAAAAUCCGAAUUUUGGUGAUAAAAUUGAAAGCUAAGUGGAUUGCAGUAAACAAAACAUAUGACAGGCUGUUAAUGAAAGAAAAGAAAUGGUUGCAAACCGAAAUUCAAAUUGUUAUGAAAGCUGACAAUGUAAGCAGAAAAAAGUUCAGUGGAGGGCGACCAAAGAAAGAUUGGAAAGAUCUAGGAGAGAGAAGUAAGCGAACAAGAGUUGUUAGAUUAUCUGCGCAUGAUCCAGAGGUUUUAGCUCUGGCUGCUGUUAAAAGUCCAAAAUCAUCAGGUGACUUACAAGACUUUGCUUAUGUGGUUAAAGAGUCUAUUCAGAAAGCAUCUGAAAUCAGAAAAAGUAUGGACAGCAAGGAACCAAUAAUGAUGUGUGAGAAAGAAGCACUUUCAUUAAAAGUUAAUUGUGAUCUCAGUAAAAAGUAAUUGUUAUCCAGAGGACCUUGUUGUAACUGAAACUUCUGCUGAAAGUAAAUUACAGGCCAUGGUGAAUCAUACUCUUAAAAUAGUUAUUGUAUUAUGUGAAGACAAUUUAAAAACUCUGGAUCCAGAUCAAAAUGUGCUCAAUGGUCGUUUUAUUCUAAAAGCAGGGUUUGAUGGUGCAUCAAGCCAAAGUUUGUAUAAACAAAGGUAUGAUAACACAGACAUUGAGGAGGUUAAAAAAAAUGAAGAAUCCCUUUUCCAAACUGAAAUUGUACCUCUUAAGUUAAGUAUAGAAAGUAAAACAAUUUGGGAGAAUAAGAAACCAAAUAGUUCUCAUUUUUGCAGACCUCUUCGUCUUCAAUACAAAAAAGAAACCACAGAACUUAGCAAGUCAGAAAAAAAACACAUUCGUGAUCAGAUGGCUGAUUUGGAAGAUUAUGUUGAGAUUAUUACACUUGCGGAUGGAAGAAAAGUCAGUAUCAAUAUAAAAUCUCAUGUUGAACUAACCAUGUUUGAUGGCAAAGUGGUUAAUGCCUUAACCAACACAAAAUCAUCUGCAAGCUGCAAUAUUUGUGGUGCGAAACCAUCAGAAAUGAACAAGCUAGAUCUAGUUAAAAUUAAACCUGUGAAUGAUGAUGCUAUGUCCCUUGGUUUAUCAUCAUUGCAUUGUUGGAUUAAAUGUUUUGAAUACAUACUUCAUUUAGGCUACAGACUGGAGAUGACUAUUCCAAGGACAGAUGUCAGGUUAGCCAAAGAUAAGGUACUUGUUCAAGCUAGAAAAAAAACUAUUCAAGAUAGGUUUAGAGCAGAACUUAGUUUACUGGUAGAUGUUCCAAAAACUGGAUUUGGGAAUACAAAUGAUGGUAAUACUGCCCGAAGAGCAUUCAUGCAUGGUGAGGCUUUUGCUGACAUAACAGGAGUUCAGGUUGAGUUGAUUCUCCGGGUGAGGACAGUUCUUCAAGCUGUUUGUUCAGGGUAUGACCUAGAUAUUGAUAGACUUAGCCAAUACUGCAAUGAGACUCUAGCCUUUAUAGUUAAUAACUAUGAUUGGUACAGAAUGCCUCCAACUCUUCACAAACUUCUAGUUCAUGGACCUGCAAUUGCUGAAAAUCUAGAACUACCCAUUGGUUAUUAUUCUGAGGAGGCUCAGGAGGCCCAAAAUAAAGUGAUAAGACAUACUAGGUUAAACCAUUCAUGCAAAAUUUCCAGACUAAAUGUAAUGAAAAAUCAAUUUCAAUAUUUGCUGAUCAGAACUGAUCCAGAAAUUUCGUCGAUCAACUUCAUAAAACACAAAUCUUCCAAUGGAAACCCCUUGUCUGAACAAGUUCUUAACUUGCUGAAACACUAUGUUUAAUUUUUUUGUUUAAAUCUAAAUUAUAUUGUUACAUGUUUUUGUUUAAAUCUAAAUUAUAUUGUCACAUAUAUGUUAUAUGUUACAACAUACAGAAAUUGUAGAUAUUUGUUUCUGAAUAAUGUAAUCUUUAUUGUUUUCACUGUUUACUGACAAAAUCGGCUGUUAUUAAAGGAUUAUAUGUAGAGUGUUUAAAAACAUUGAAAAUUUGUCACUUUUUAUUUAAAUAAACUAUAUAUAUAUUUAUGAAUUUGUCUCUAUAAGUACAAUAAAAAACGACAGAAAAGCAUGUUGAGAAAGUGGGAAAAAAAUUCAGAAUUUGCAAAUUUGCAAAAAUAUUUUGAAAAAAGUGUGCAAAAUUAUUUUCUGACUUUCGGGUUGGGUUACUGAUUAAAUUUUAAUAUAUUUAGAGCCAAAAAAAGGUUGAAAUCCAUUCAUAAACACUGAUUUGAGGGUUUUUGCCGUUUUUUCGUAGCUGUGAGGCACUGUGCGCCGUGAAAGUUUUAACGCGUUCAUCGGUUGCUAAAGGUCACGUGUAAAAACAAAUCUUGUUUUUAUAAUUAAAUCAAACACCAAUUUAUCAAAUUAAAAGUUUUUUAACUUAAACUAGUAAUAUUAACACGUUCAAAUAAUGAAUUUUAUUCUCAGAACAAACGUAAAAAAUAUAUGGUUAAAUGUUUCCUAGUAAAAGUGACGUUAUACAAUAUUUUAUUUGCUGCAAUAGCAACAGUUCUUAACUGGCUGAGAGCUAAUAAAAUCUCACUUAAUGCUAAAAAACCCUCAAAUAGUAGUCUUUAAAAGCAAAAGCCAAAAAAUAAUAAGCAAUUAAAUUUUUAUAUUAAUGGAAAGAUAUUAACUUCUUCAAAAUCAGUAAGGUAUCUUGGAAUAAUGCAGGAUGAAAAUCUUUCUUUUAAAUACCACCACACUUAUUUACAAUCAAAAUUGAGUCGAUCUAUUGGUAUGUUGGCUAAAGUAAGUUACUUUGUCAACUUAGAAACUGUAACCAGUAUUUAUCACGCCAUAUUUCGAUCUCACAUACAAUAUGCUUGCCAGAUCUGGGGCAAACUAAAAAUCAAUCCUUAAAAAGUAUUUUUUCACUGCAAAAUAAAGCCAUUAAAAUCAUCCACUUUCAGAAUGACCGUUUAAACAAUGUCUCUUUGUUAUAUAAAUUAUCACAGGUUUUAAAACUUCGCGACAACAUCAAGCUUAUGAAUUGUACCUUUGUAUAGGAUUAGUUGCAUGGUAAACUCCCAAUUACUUUCACUUCUUUUUUCUCCCAAACCAGUUCUAAACACUCCUAUCUCCUUAGAUCCUCAUCAUGCAAAAAUAUAUUUGUUGAACACAGUUGAACAAAAAUAAAUGUUUAUACUAGAUUUAACUAAUAUUUCUAUAUUUAUUUCUAUAUUAGUAUUUAUUAUUAUAUUUAUUGGUAUUUGUAUUAAAUAUUUAGUUAGUAUUAGUUUUUGUUUUUUAAGUUAGUAUUAGUUGUUUUUUUCUCUUUAUUCUAUUAUCUUCAACUCUAAUUCAAUAAUUUUUCUCCUUACUCGGUAAUACUUCUUUUUAUUCUACCAUUAUUCAUAUUAUUAACUUUUAUUGUUUUUUAUUUUAUUCAGCUACUAUUAUUUUUAUGUAUUGACAGUAUUAUUACGUACUUAUUUUUAUUAGUUUUAGUAUCAUUUAUAUAUAUAUAAUUAACUUUAGUUUUUGUUCCUUGGUUGAUGUGUUUGUCUAUUGUAUUAUUAUUAUAGUAGUAGUAGAAGAAGCAGUUUUUAUUUUUAAUUUUUUUAUUUAUUUACAAGGUCUUUUUGUUUUGUUUUGUUUUGUUUUAUAAGGUCUCUGCUUUGAAUUAGUCCUGUACUAUUUGCAUUGUUCCUUCACAAUAAUAUUAUUGUAAAAUUUAUAUUAUAUUGUAAACAAUAUCUGUUUUUGUGAAAAUAUAUUGAUUGAUUGAUUGCAAAUUAAUAACUUUUAAUAAAAAUAUUAAAAUACACAGCAAAAUUAUAUCUUGCCCUCUAGACAUGAAUCAUGAACUACUAUGUAAUUGUAAAUGUUUAAGUUCAAAUGUAUUGUUUCUACUAUUAGAAAGCAGUAGCUUAUGGCUGGUAUUCCAUAUACUAGUAGCAGAAGUAUAAGGGAAAUCAACGAUUUUGUCAACGAUUGACAGUGUUCAUUUUGUCAAUUUUUUUGAUGCUGGUUGGUGGUGUAUCUCUUGUGUGCUCAAUUUAUUUACAACAGCAGGAUUCUAAUUUGGAAAAAGCUCAAUUUCAAUU